AGCUACGUUAUAUUAAUAAAACUGUACAAUAAAUGCUUACACACAGAGUGAGUGAAGCCCCUUUUAAAAAAAAAAAAUGCAUAUUGUAAUAGUGCUAUGAUGGAGAAUGUGAUUAAAAAAUAACGAAAAGUUUUGGAUUUAUAUGUAAUAUUAUUUUAUUGAAAAAUGCAUGAUUAAAAUAUGGUCAUUAAAGAAUGUAUUUUGAUAGGAAAAUGAGUCUCAAACAAGGACAUGUUUUCUGCAUUGUUAUUGUCCAGUAUUGCAUCCACAGUAGUAUAUGUAGGCAUGGGAUUCACUCUAGGAGAGAAAGUACUCACCCAAAUUAUUGUCCAUAAAACUUAUCAUCAUGGUGAUGCGUGGUCCGAUCAUAGUGACAUCUUAGGUUUGUAGAUCUAUUGAAAUGUGUGGUUAAAAAUGAAAUUUUGACCAAUUAUAAAUGACUUAUAAAUGUUGCCCAAAGAAGUGACAAUUACUGCUUCCAUUAGAUAAAACAGGGAGGUUCCUAGACCACCAAUUACAAGCUAAACGCUUGUUUAACACAGAUGUUUCAGAAAAGAAUAUUCUUCAAAAUCAUUUUCAAACAUACAUUUCCCCAAUAGCUUUUAUCCACUUUUUAACCAGACCUUCUACAAAAAUAUGAUUUAUCACGUGAAAAAAUUUGUACCAAACAGGCUAAGUUGCCUAUCCAAUCUUGAAAGCAGCAAUAUCCAGGUGCGGCCCAGUGAUUUGUUGGCAACAUUCGAUCAGACAUGGUUGUCUAAUGUGUUACCAGACCAUCUUAUUGACUAAAACGAGCACUGGGCUAUUCCUACUCCAAAUAUUUUAAUUAAAAUCAUAAAUUCAAAUGUAUCUCUAUUCCAAGUCAAGGGACAUAACGAUGACUGCAGUUAACUACCACUCAGGAUCUGGACUAUUCAUGUUCCACACCAUCCCACUAACGUGUAAUUUAUAUACAAGCAUUAGGGCUCUCGUCAGGCCACAUUCUUAUUUUCGUCCAAAGUUACUUUCAAGUACACAUUUUUCAAAUAAAAUAAUUUUCACCCAAACCCAAAUUUUUUUCUGAAAAAUGGACUUAAACCACGGCUAAAUGGGCAACAAAAAAAUGAAGAGUCUUAACUCUGUAAAAAUACUAUGCGGAAUAAUGACCACUUCGCAUCACCAAUAAAGCCAGAAACAAAUGAAUACUAUACAAUUAUCACUGUUCAGUCUAGAAGAAAAACCCUAGGCCAAUAGCAUCAUGCAACCAGAUUGUCAAAUCCCUUCACAUUGUUCACAACACGCCUUAAUAGGCAUAAGAAAGCUGAAAAUUCACUCAAAUGAAUAGAUAAAUUCCUUAACUUCUCUUCGAAGUUAAAAUCGUAAAAAAAUAAUAAUAAUAAAUAAAUAAAUAUGUUUGCAAAAAUAGCACUUUUUAAACAUCACUAUUUUCAGAUAAACCCAACACAGAAAAAAAAAAGUAAAAAAUAAAAAUUGUACUACUCGUACUAUGUAUAUUUUAUACAGGAAGACGUAAGAAAUUGUAUACGUAUGACAUGUGAUUAUCAUUACCGGCGGCUUGUUGAUUUGAAAAUUUUGGAGAGAGAAAGGAAGCGGUGAACUCGGAUUCGAAACGAAGAAUUUUGCUUGGUGCCUGUUUCUGUGAAAGCAAUGGGAGGAGCGUGGGGGGAAGAGUUUUUCUAUGCGGAGUCGUGUGUGACG
rnacentral:lncRNA from 1 species